GAUGAACGCUAGCGGCAGGCUUAAUACAUGCAAGUCGUGGGGCAGCAUGAGUGUAGCAAUACAUUUGAUGGCGACCGGCAAACGGGUGCGGAACACGUACAGAACCCUCUUUCAAGCGGGGCAUAGCCAGAGAAAUUUGGAUUAAUACCCCAUAAUAUAAUGAAGAGGCAUCUCUUUGUUAUUAAAGAUUUAUCACUUGAAGAUGGCUGUGCGGCUGAUUAGGUAGUUGGCGGGGUAACGGCCCACCAAGCCUGCGAUCAGUAACUGGUGUGAGAGCACGACCAGUCACACGGGCACUGAGACACGGGCCCGACUCCUACGGGAGGCAGCAGUAAGGAAUAUUGGUCAAUGGACGCAAGUCUGAACCAGCCAUGCCGCGUGGAGGAUGAAGGUCCUCUGGAUUGCAAACUUCUUUUAUAUGGGACGAAAAAAGGCUUUUCUAAGUCGUCUGACGGUACCAUAUGAAUAAGCACCGGCUAACUCCGUGCCAGCAGCCGCCGUAAUAC
rnacentral:rRNA from 1 species